GACGAACGCUGGCGGCGUGCUUAACACAUGCAAGUCGAACGGAAAGGCCCUGCUUUUGGGGGGUGCUCGAGUGGCGAACGGGUGAGUAACACGUGAGUAACCUGCCCUUGACUUUGGGAUAACUUCAGGAAACUGGGGCUAAUACCGGAUAGGAGCUCCUGCUGCAUGGUGGGGGUUGGAAAGUUUCGGCGGUUGGGGAUGGACUCGCGGCUUAUCAGCUGGUUGGUGGGGUAGUGGCUUACCAAGGCUUUGACGGGUAGCCGGCCUGAGAGGGUGACCGGCCACAUUGGGACUGAGAUACGGCCCAGACUCCUACGGGAGGCAGCAGUGGGGAAUAUUGCACAAUGGGCGGAAGCCUGAUGCAGCAACGCCGCGUGCGGGAUGACGGCCUUCGGGUUGUAAACCGCUUUCGCCUGUGACGAAGCGUGAGUGACGGUAAUGGGUAAAGAAGCACCGGCUAACUACGUG
rnacentral:rRNA from 1 species